rnacentral:rRNA from 1 species
ACGGGGUGCAGCAGGCGCGAAACCUUUGCAAUGUGCGCAAGCACGACAAGGUUAAUCCGAGUGUUUCCUGCUAAAGGAAUCUUUUGCUAGUCCUAAAAACACUAGUGAAUAAGGGGUGGGCAAGUUCUGGUGUCAGCCGCCGCGGUAAAACCAGCACCUCAAGUGGUCAGGAGGAUUAUUGGGCCUAAAGCAUCCGUAGCUUGCUCUGUAAGUUUCCGGUUAAAUCCAUUAGCUCAACUAAUGGCCUGCCGGAAAUGCUGCAGAACUAGGAAGUGGGAGAGGUAGACGGUACUCGGUAGGAAGGGGUAAAAUCCUUUGAUCUAUUGAUGACCACCUGUGGCGAAGGCGGUCUACCAGAACACGUUCGACAGUGAGGGAUGAAAGCUGGGGGAGCAAACCGGAUUAGAUACCCGGGUAGUCCCAGCCGUAAACGAUGCAGACUCGAUGAUGCACUGGCUUGUGGCCAGUGCAGUGUCGCAGGGAAGCCGUUAAGUUUGCCGCCUGGAAGUACGUACGCAAGU